CCUACGGGGGGCUGCAGUGGGGAAUAUUGGACAAUGGGGGAACCCUGAUCCAGCCAUGCCGCGUGUGUGAAGAAGGCCCUCGGGUUGUAAAGCACUUUCAGUGAGGAAGAACGCCUGGUGGUUAAUACCCAUCAGGAAAGACAUCACUCACAGAAGAAGCACCGGCUAACUCCGUGCCAGCAGCCGCGGUAAUACGGAGGGUGCGAGCGUUAAUCGGAAUUACUGGGCGUAAAGCGCGCGUAGGUGGCUUGAUAAGCCGGUUGUGAAAGCCCCGGGCUCAACCUGGGAACGGCAUCCGGAACUGUCAAGCUAGAGUGCAGGAGAGGAAGGUAGAAUUCCCGGUGUAGCGGUGAAAUGCGUAGAGAUCGGGAGGAAUACCAGUGGCGAAGGCGGCCUUCUGGACUGACACUGACACUGAGGUGCGAAAGCGUGGGUAGCAAACAGGAUUAGAUACCCCUGUAGUC
rnacentral:rRNA from 1 species